rnacentral:rRNA from 1 species
GGAUUAGAUACCCUGGUAGUCCACGCAGUAAACGAUGAAUACUAACUGUUGGCGAUAUAUUGUCAGUGGUAAAGCGAAAGCGUUAAGUAUUCCACCUGGGGAGUACGCCGGCAACGGUGAAACUCAAAGGAAUUGACGGGGGCCCGCACAAGCGGAGGAACAUGUGGUUUAAUUCGAUGAUACGCGAGGAACCUUACCCGGGCUUGAACGCAGAGGGACAGACUGAGAAAUCAGUUUUCCAGCAAUGGUCGUCUGCGAGGUGCUGCAUGGUUGUCGUCAGCUCGUGCCG